rnacentral:tRNA from 1 species
GGGCCCAUAGCUCAGCUGGGAGAGCGCUACAAUGGCAUUGUAGAGGUCGGCGGUUCGAUCCCGCCUGGGUCCACCA